rnacentral:rRNA from 1 species
UAACGCGUAUAGAACCUACCUUUUACAGAGGAAUAGCCUUUAGAAAUGAAGAUUAAUGCCUCAUAGUAUUGUAGACUGGCAUCAGUUUAUAAUUAAAGAUUUAUCGGUAAAAGAUGGCUAUGCGUCCUAUUAGUUAGUUGGUAAGGUAACGGCUUACCAAGACAGCGAUAGGUAGGGGUCCUGAGAGGGGGAUCCCCCACACUGGUACUGAGACACGGACCAGACUCCUACGGGAGGCAGCAGUGAGGAAUAUUGGACAAUGGAGGCAACUCUGAUCCAGCCAUGCCGCGUGUAGGAUGACUGCCCUAUGGGUUGUAAACUACUUUUAUACAGGAAGAAACACCUCUACGUGUAGA